rnacentral:tRNA from 1 species
CGUGUGUUUCUGUGGUGUAGUGGUUAUCACGUUUGCUUUACACGCAAAAGGUCUCCGGUUCGAUCCCGGGCAGGAACAUCUUUUUUCAGUUGUUGUAGCUUGUUUAUAUAUCUUACUAACUUAUAAAUUUGUUUGUCAUUAGUUGUUAAGCAAGUUUCUGUGGUGUAGUGGUUAUCACGUUUGCUUUACACGCAAAAGGUCUCCGGUUCGAUCCCGGGCAGGAACAUUCUUUUUUCAGUUGUUAUAACUUGUUUAUAUAUCUUACUAACUUAUAUAUUUUUUUGUCAUUAGUUGUUGAGCAAGUUUCUGUGGUGUAGUGGUUAUCACGUUUGCUUUACACGCAAAAGGUCUCCGGUUCGAUCCCGGGCAGGAACAU